UCGGGAAUUUUGGGCAAUGGGCGAAAGCCUGACCCAGCAACGCCGCGUGAAGGAUGAAGUAUUUCGGUAUGUAAACUUCGAAAGAAUGGGAAGAAUAAAUGACGGUACCAUUUAUAAGCUCCGGCUAACUACGUGCCAGCAGCCGCGGUAAUACGUAGGGAGCAAGCGUUGUUCGGAUUUACUGGGCGUAAAGGGCGCGUAGGCGGCGCGGUAAGUCACUUGUGAAAUCUCUGAGCUUAACUCAGAACGGCCAAGUGAUACUGCAGUGCUAGAGUGCAGAAAGGGCAAUCGGAAUUCUUGGUGUAGCGGUGAAAUGCGUAGAUAUCAAGAGGAACACCUGAGGCGAAGGCGGGUUGCUAGGCUGACACUGACGCUGAGGCGCGAAAGCCAGGGGAGCGAAACGGGAUUAGACUACCCCGGUAGUCCUGGCCCUAAACGAUGAAUACUUGGUGUCUGGAGUCAUUAAUGCUCCGGGUGCCGUCGC
rnacentral:rRNA from 1 species